AUUUAAAUAGCUUAUUUUAGAGCGUAAUAUUGAAGAUAUUAAGGAAGUUAAUAAACUUUUAGAUA
rnacentral:tRNA from 1 species